rnacentral:rRNA from 1 species
GAGGGGCAGCGAGAUCAGUGCUUGCACUGAUUGUCGGCGACCGGCGCACGGGUGCGUAACGCGUAUGCAACCUACCCAUUACAGGGGGAUAACACUGAGAAAUCGGUACUAAUACCCCAUAACAUCCAGGGAGGCAUCUUCUUGGGUUGAAAACUCCGGUGGUAAUGGAUGGGCAUGCGUUGUAUUAGUUAGUUGGUGGGGUAACGGCUCACCAAGACAACGAUACAUAGGGGGACUGAGAGGUUAACCCCCCACAUUGGUACUGAGACACGGACCAAACUCCUACGGGAGGCAGCAGUGAGGAAUAUUGGUCAAUGGACGCAAGUCUGAACCAGCCAUGCCGCGUGCAGGAAGACGGCUCUAUGAGUUGUAAACUGCUUUUGUACGAGGGUAAACGCAGAUACGUGUAUCUGUCUGAAAGUAUCGUACGAAUAAGGAUCGGCUAACUCCGUGCCAGCAGCCGCGGUAAUACGGAGGAUUCAAGCGUUAUCCGGAUUUAUUGGGUUUAAAGGGUGCGUAGGCGGUCGGAUAAGUUAGAGGUGAAAUCCCGAGGCUCAACUUCGGAAUUGCCUCUGAUACUGUUCGGCUAGAGAGUAGUUGCGGUAGGCGGAAUGUAUGGUGUAGCGGUGAAAUGCUUAGAGAUCAUACAGAACACCGAUUGCGAAGGCAGCUUACCAAGCUACUUCUGACGUUGAGGCACGAAAGCGUGGGGAGCAAACAGGAUUAGAUACCCUGGUAGUCCACGCAGUAAACGAUGAUAACUCGUUGUCGGCGAUACAAUGUCGGUGACUAAGCGAAAGCGAUAAGUUAUCCACCUGGGGAGUACGUUCGCAAGAAUGAAACUCAAAGGAAUUGACGGGGGCCCGCACAAGCGGAGGAACAUGUGGUUUAAUUCGAUGAUACGCGAGGAACCUUACCCGGGCUUGAAAGUUAGUGACGGAUCUUGAAAGAGGUCUUCCCUUCGGGGCACGAAACUAGGUGCUGCAUGGUUGUCGUCAGCUCGUGCCGUGAGGUGUCGGGUUAAGUCCCAUAACGAGCGCAACCCCUACCGUUAGUUGCCAGCAGGUCAAGCUGGGCACUCUGACGGGACUGCCGGUGUAAGCCGAGAGGAAGGUGGGGAUGACGUCAAAUCAGCACGGCCCUUACGUCCGGGGCUACACACGUGUUACAAUGGCAGGUACAGAGGGCAGCUACCCAGCGAUGGGAUGCGAAUCUCGAAAGCCUGUCUCAGUUCGGAUUGGAGGCUGAAACCCGCCUCCAUGAAGUUGGAUUCGCUAGUAAUCGCGCAUCAGCCAUGGCGCGGUGAAUACGUUCCCGGGC